UACGUAGGCAGCGAGCGUUGUUCGGAGUUACUGGGCGUAAAGGGUGCGUAGGCGGUUGUUUAAGUUUGGUGUGAAAUCUCCCGGCUCAACUGGGAGGGUGCGCCGAAUACUGAAUGACUAGAGUGCGGGAGAGGAGAGUGGAAUUCCUGGUGUAGCGGUGAAAUGCGUAGAUAUCAGGAGGAACACCGGUGGUGGAGACGGCUCUCUGGACCGUAACUGACGCUGAGGCACGAAAGCGUGGGUAGCAAACAGG
rnacentral:rRNA from 1 species